rnacentral:rRNA from 1 species
UACGAAGGGGGCUAGCGUUGCUCGGAAUCACUGGGCGUAAAGCGCACGUAGGCGGACUGCUAAGUCAGGGGUGAAAUCCUGGAGCUCAACUCCAGAACUGCCUUUGAUACUGGCGAUCUCGAGUCCGGGAGAGGUGAGUGGAACUGCGAGUGUAGAGGUGAAAUUCGUAGAUAUUCGCAAGAACACCAGUGGCGAAGGCGGCUCACUGGCCCGGUACUGACGCUGAGGUGCGAAAGCGUGGGGAGCAAACAGG